rnacentral:rRNA from 1 species
UACAGAGGGGGCAAGCGUUGUUCGGAAUUACUGGGCGUAAAGGGCGCGUAGGCGGCCAACUAAGUCAGACGUGAAAUCCCCAGGCUCAACCUGGGAACUGCGUCUGAUACUGGAUGGCUUGAAUCCGGGAGAGGGAUACAGAAUUCCAGGUGUAGCGGUGAAAUGCGUAGAUAUCUGGAGGAAUACCGGUGGCGAAGGCGGCAUCCUGGACCGGCAUUGACGCUGAGGAGCGAAAGCCAGGGGAGCAAACGGG